CCUUGGAAAGAUGAGGAGGGAUUUUUAAUAUGUUCAGAAAUAUUUAUCAGUGCAGAAACUGAAUGUUUAGAAGCCACUGCAAUGAAGAUUAAAUUGGAGCAUUCAGGUUAAUGGAUGGCUAACAUUGUACUGAAGUCUUUAAUACAGGACAGGGAUCAUUUUCGGUACUUUACGAAGACUUUAUUUUAUUUUGAUAAUUCUGUAAGUAUUCUAUCAGGGUCCAGGGAGAAAACACUUAGGAUGCUUACUUAGGGCAAUCUGAGGAGAGAUCAAUCAAGGGACUGAUUCAAAUGUGUGCUUUAGAAACAGGGACGCCAAAAGAUGCACGCGGUAUCCCUGGGGUAGAACAAAAGGGGCUCUGUUGCUACCAGUAGCACUGAAAGGGCAGAGAGAGGAAGUGGUAAUUAUACCAGCACAUAGAGAGGGGAGGGUGCAGGAGGCCAUGUUAUGGGAGCUGAGAUCACAAUGGAGCCAUGCCAAUGCCUUGACCUUGCAAGAGAACCAGAGCCAGUGGAAGGAACACUAUAUCAGCGAGAUGCCAGAAAAACAAAAGGAAACAAAAAACACUACUUAAACAUGGCAGGGAAGACCAGCACCAUCAUUCUGCAUUCAGGAGGGAGACAGAGUGGAUGUUUCGACAGGAGCAUCAGGUGUAAGUGAACUGGGAGUUGCCCGAAGUAAGAGGGUGCAUCAUUCUUGUCCACUUCUGGCCUCUCUAUUCCAAACAUGGUGCCUAGCCCUGAUGCGACACUCCGUAAACGUGCGCUGGGGUUUGAAAUGGAAAAUGGAAGUGAGUUCAGCAUCCUGUGCAGAAACACAGCAUUUCAGCUCUGAAUUGUCCUUAACUGUAAUAUAUUCCAUAAAUUUCUCCAUGAAAAUAUCAGCUGUCUCUUUUGUGCAUAUGUCUAGCGAUUAGCAUUGUUUUCCGUAUUUUUGAAUGCUUAGCUGAAUAAAUU
rnacentral:lncRNA from 1 species